rnacentral:rRNA from 1 species
AGUGAACGCUGGCGGUAGGCCUAACACAUGCAAGUCGAACGGCAGCACAGUAAGAGCUUGCUCUUACGGGUGGCGAGUGGCGGACGGGUGAGGAAUACAUCGGAAUCUACUUUUUCGUGGGGGAUAACGUAGGGAAACUUACGCUAAUACCGCAUACGACCUACGGGUGAAAGCAGGGGAUCUUCGGACCUUGCGCGAUUGAAUGAGCCGAUGUCGGAUUAGCUAGUUGGCGGGGUAAAGGCCCACCAAGGCGACGAUCCGUAGCUGGUCUGAGAGGAUGAUCGGCCACACUGGAACUGAGGCACGGUCCAGACUCCUGCGGGAGGCAGCAGUGGGGAAUAUUGGACAAAGGGGGCAAGCCUGAUACAGCCAUACCGCGUGGGUGAAGAAGGCGUUCGGGUUGUAAAGCCCUUUUGUUGGGAGAGAAAAGCAGCAGGUUAAUACCCCGCUGUUCUGACGGUACCCAAAGAAUAAGCACCGGCUAACUUCGUG